AGUAGACCUGCACGAACAUGUCGCUCCAUGCAGGCGUGUCGCCGCU
rnacentral:sRNA from 1 species